AGAGUUUGAUCCUGGCUCAGAUUGAACGCUGGCGGAAUGCUUUACACAUGCAAGUCGAACGGCAGCAUAGGUGCUUGCACCUGAUGGCGAGUGGCGAACGGGUGAGUAAUACAUCGGAACGUGCCCAGUCGUGGGGGAUAACGUAGCGAAAGUUACGCUAAUACCGCAUACGAUCUACGGAUGAAAGCGGGGGACCGUAAGGCCUCGCGCGAUUGGAGCGGCCGAUGUUAGAUUAGGUAGUUGGUGGGGUAAAGGCUCACCAAGCCGACGAUCUAUAGCUGGUCUGAGAGGAUGAUCAGCCACACUGGGACUGAGACACGGCCCAGACUCCUACGGGAGGCAGCAGUGGGGAAUUUUGGACAAUGGGCGCAAGCCUGAUCCAGCCAUUCCGCGUGCAGGACGAAGGCCUUCGGGUUGUAAACUGCUUUUGUACAGAACGAAAAGCCUUGGGUUAAUACCCUAGGGUCAUGACGGUACUGUAAGAAUAAGCACCGGCUAACUACGUGCCAGCAGCCGCGGUAAU
rnacentral:rRNA from 1 species